AACGAACGCUGGCGGCAUGCCUAACACAUGCAAGUCGAACGAGACCAUCGGGUCUAGUGGCGCAUGGGUGCGGAACGCGGGGGAACCUGCCCUUAGGUUCGGAACAACUCCCCGAAAGGGGUGCUAAUACCGGAUAAUGUCUUCGGACCAAAGAUUUAUCGCCUUUGGAUGGGCCCGCGUUGGAUUAGCUAGUUGGUAGGGUAAAAGCCUACCAGGGCGACGAUCCAUAGAUGGUCUGAGAGGAUGAUCAGCCACCCUGGGACUGAGACACGGCCCAGACUCCUACGAGAGGCAGCAGUGGGGACUAUUGGACAAUGGGCGAUGGCCUGGUCCAGCAAUUCCGCGUGAGUGCUGACGGCCUUAGAGUUGUAAAACUCUUUUACCCGGGCUGAUUGUGGCUGUACCGAGAGAAUACACUCCGGCUCGCUCCG
rnacentral:rRNA from 1 species